UGGGGGAUAUUGCACAAUGGGCGAAAGCCUGAUGCAGCGACGCCGCGUGGGGGAUGAAGGCCUUCGGGUUGUAAACUUCUUUUGCUCUGAACAAGGCAUGCCUUUGGGGUGUGUUGAGUGUAGGGGUUGAUUAGCGCCGGCUAACUACGUGCCAGCAGCCGCGGUAAUACGUAGGGCGCGAGCGUUGUCCGGAAUUAUUGGGCGUAAAGGGUGCGCAGGCGGCUUUACAAGUUGGAUGUGAAAUAUUGUGGCUCAACCACAAACGUGCAUCCAAAACUGCAAAGCUUGAGUUAAGGAGAGGUAAGUGGAAUUCCUGGUGUAGCGGUGGAAUGCGUAGAUAUCAGGAGGAAUACCGGUGGCGAAGGCGACUUACUGGACUUAAACUGACGCUCAGGCACGAAAGCGUGGGGAGCAAACAGG
rnacentral:rRNA from 1 species